AUAAAUAAAUAAAACAGAAAACACACAACACACAACCAAAUGUAGCAGUGAGGCUGGAAGCAAGAUGGAGUCAGUCAUGUUUGAUUUCUCUCCUUACUUAUAAUUCUGCAAAGGAGGUUUCAAUGUUGGGAUGGCAAAUAUUAAGUAUCAACUUGAUUGAAUACAAGAAUGCAAAAUAUUGUUGCUAGGUGUGUCUGAGAGGGCAUUGCCAGAGGAGAUUCACAUCUGAGUCAGUGCACUGGGAGCAGCAGACCCACCCUCAAUCUGGGGGGGCACCAUCCAAUCGGCUGCCAGCCCAGCUAGGAAAAGUAGGCCAAAGAAAACGGAAUGAGUCAACUUGCUGAGUCGUCCAGGCCUUCAUCUUUCUUCUGUGCUGGAUGCUUCCCUGCUCUUGAACAUCAAGACUUCAGGUUCUUUGACUUUUGGACCCUUGGACUUACACCAGUGGUUUGCCAGGUGCUCUCAGGGCUUCCGCCACAGACUGAAGCCUGCACCGUCAGCUUCACUGUCAUAUUUUUCAGGUUUUGGGACUCAGACUGAGCCACUGCUGGCUUCCUUGCUCCUCAGCUUGCAGAUGCCUAUUGUGGGACUUCACCUUACAGUCAUACCCGAUGUGAAGCCUGACUGAGCAGAGUGGAGACCAGCAGCUGCACGUCAAGUGGCCUUCCCAGGACUUGACUCCAUAUGCAUGUUCUCGUCCAUGGGCUCAUACCCAGUCCAAAGGACUUUACCCCAGCUCCAUCUUUGCCCAGACACACUUGAGGCUGCAGGGUUUUGGUAAGAACACAACUGCCAGAUCAAUAAUUGCAUACCAAGUACCAAACUCUGUUUUGAUUUGCCCCAAUAAAGACACAACAUCUGGCACAGCAUCUGUGGUUGGGGCACAAUCUAGCUCUGGUUAUGAAAGUUUACAAUUUCCUGCCCUUGUCUGUGAUACAGUUUGGAUGUGUGUCCCCUCCAACUCUCAUGUUAAAGUGUGAUCCCCAAUGUUGGAGGUGAGGCCUGGGGAGGUGUUUUGGUCAUGGGAGGAGAUUCCUCACAAAUGUCUUGGUGCCCUCCUCACAGUAAUAAGUGAGUUCUCACCCUGUUACUUUGUGCAAGAGCUGGUGACUUGAGUCUGACAUCUCUCCUGUUCUCUGUCUUGCCAUGUGACGUGACUGCUCCUCCUUUGCCUUCUGCCAUAUUGUAAGCUUCCCAAGGCCCUCACCAGAAUCAGAUGCUGGCACCAUGCUUCCUGUACAGCUUAUAAAACCGUGAGCCAAUUAAAUCUCUUUUCCUUAUAAAUUGCCAAGCCUCAGGUAUUCAUUUAUAGCAAUGGAAAUGGACCAACAGAGGUAGUCUGCUUUAUAAUGGGUCAGAACGUGAAUCACAUGAGGAUACGAUAGUGCUUGUUAUUCCUGAAUUUUCCACAUCAUACAAUUCACCUUCUGGGCUCCAUAUAGGGGAAGUGAUUCUGGAAAACGUGGUUCCCACUUCAGAAGGAACAGUGGUGUUGGGGACACGUUGACAACAGAAAGUCUAGCACAGUCCACCCCAUUCAAAAAUAAGCAUCUGUAGACAUUUUCAACUUCCAAAUAAAAGCAGCAACAAUACUAUUUUCCACCUAAUGUGAUGCAACUAUUCAUUUUACAACCCAAAGACCUUUAAUCUUCUCUAUGGAAGAGAUAUUUGAAAAUGCUAGUCCGUCUCCCAGAUGACUAACAACCCCUUUUGCUCUUUCAUGCUAUAAAUACCAAGGAUCAACCAAUAUAAACCUAUAUUACAUAGAGGGGUAUGAAGGCACUGAGACAAAAAGCAGAGGACUCAGUUAAUACAGAAACUAUAUUCACAUCAGCUGGGCAUGGUGGCACAUGUCUGUAGAGCUACUCAGAGGGCUGAGGUGGU
rnacentral:lncRNA from 1 species